AAUAAUUUUGCAGCAAAAUGGAAGGUGGAAGACUGGACGUGAAAGUGGUGGAAAAAAUACAUGCUGGACCGAGCUCCGAGAAAAUUAACAAAAAAUGGCAGAAAAUCACCGUGCUCAUUUAAUGCAUCUUGAUCGUGUCAACAGCCUCAGAGAGAUAGCCAACAGGCCCAGACCCUGACGGGAUUACAGGAAUGAAUGAAUCCUUUUGAGUUGUAUAUGGAUGAAGCCUUUCGAAUGCGGUAUCGCUUCUCAAAAGAGACUGCACUCCAUCUCAUCAACAUGUGUGAGGGUGAUCUGAGGAGGAAUACAGAAUGUAGUGAACCUCUACCUGUUGUCAUAGGUGUCAUCGAUGGGACUCAUGUCUACAUUAGGAGUCCUGGUGGGGAACAAGCCCUGUACUUCCUUAAUCGGAAGAACAGGUAUUCCGUCAGUGUGCAGAUUGCAUUUUUAAUAUAAAUGUAGACUCUGUUAUGCCAGUCUGAACUUUUGGGGAAGGGUCGAUAAUGUGACUUGUACUCCUAUCAUCAUUCCAAUGUCACUAAAGUAUAAUAGCGGUCAUUGACUAUUUUUAAGCAUUGAAAUUUAGAUUGUUUUAUUUAGCACCCUCUCUUUGUAAUGUACUGUACAGUACUUAUUUGUCCUUUAAAUAUGCUCUUGAGCAUUUUCCUUACAAAUUCAUUUAUCUUGAUAUUAGACGCUACAGACUAAGAAUUUAAGUGAGUCUUUCGAUAAUUGUGUUUGAUAUAUCAACAUAUAUAUACAAAAUCUUAUAAUUCCAUUGUAUUUCUUUAAGUUAGAGAAGUGUGAAAAUCAUUCAGACAAAGACCAGAUCCUUCUAACUAGGUUUACUUUAAAAAUAAAUACUCACUUUCUUACUGUCAUGCUCUUCGUGUAUUUUUCAAUUGAUAAUACCGAAGUCAUAUAUCAAUAUUCAAUAAAUACUUAAUCAUCAUACAGAGUGAUGAAUAUAAGUACAUUAAUAACAUAAAUAUAAUAUAGUAUUACCCCUAUCUGACGUCUGAGCUGGACAUUUAAAAUGUAUGGCCCUAGUUUUCAUGAAUAUUGAUAAUGAGUCAGGUACUGUAUUAUCUGUAUACUAUAUUGCUUUUCUUGGUCUUUAUAGUACAAUGUCAUCCAUUGCAACAUAAUUCCUAAUUUAUGAAUAGAUAUGUCUAUAUACAGUUUUUAUGAUAUCAAUAUUCAAAUGAAUUCUCCCAACCACAUCAACAAAUCAAGAACUUCUGUUAUUUCUUUAUCUAUGAGUAUUUAAUAUAAUCUGCAGUACUGCUGAUACAAUAUAAAC